UAUUAUUUAAAUCUGUCAAAUUUUUGACGUUAGGGGUCAAUCUAAAAACAAAGGUUAGGAAUAAUUGGGUAUUUUAUGAUGGUUCUAACCCACAUGAACCAUUGGUUCAAUUUAGAUAAAUAUGCAUGUAUCCAAGCUAGAUUAGCAGAGAUCAACAACCAAAGAAAUGUUAGGAAUGAACGAAGAACUAAACAACAGCAAAAUUACAACGAAAGUCUCGAACAUAAAAACAUUCCCACAUGGCUUAAACUCAUCGUUAUUUUUUCUAGACCACACGUUAUUAGAGCUGCACUUAAAUUUGGGCUUGCAGCUUUAAUUAUGAGUCGAUUUGAAAGAGUUGGAUUUGCUUUAAUGAUGCUGUGUUUUGCAUUUUAAUUCAAUGACUUAUAUUAUGUUAUGUGAUAUUAUCUAGCCAAGUUUAUUUAUAUAAUUAACAGAAUAAGAUAUUUAAUAAAAUGAUUAGAAGGCAAUUAAAUUGAAAAGGUUUCUAUUUGUUAUAUACUUAGUUGAUAAGUUUGAGUAGAAAAAAUGUGAAAACUAAAGUUUCUUGAUUAAAUUGGUAGCUAUGAAACUUGUGUAGUCAAUUUUGUCUUUUCACAUUAUAAAUUACAAUUAAAAUGAUUAUAAAUGCAUGUAUCUUGCAAGUGUUUAAGAUAGAUUAUUAUUAUACAGCUGUUCAAAGUAUACUACAAAGAUUAUCAGAUUUUUAUUCAUAAAUUUAUGCUCUUCAAAGGAAAAAAAUUUAAAAAAAGUUGCUAAAAUCAGGCAAUCUUUAAGAGAUAUGAAUUAAAGUUAAUAUGUUUAAAAAUAUGCAUUUCUAAACAUACAAAAGAUUGGAUGAAAAAAGUAAUGUAUUAAUAAUGACGUUAUGGCAGAAACAGCGUUGCCAACCCAUGCUGACCAAAUGUCGGUAUAAUCAAUGGUAAAAAAUGUAUAAUAAAUCUGUAGAUUUAAAUAUAAAGUCAGAAAUUGUUGCUUGACAAAGGUUUUCAAAUGAAUUUAUAUAUCCUCGAUUUUUAUUUUUUGUUAAUCCAAAUAAUUUAGCAUAGAAAAUUGUUUAUCGCUUUUAGUUUUUCGGAAGAUUGGUCACCUUGGUAUUUUUAAAUGGAACACCCUAUUUACAAGAUGCUAAUGGUAACACCCGGGAUUCAGAGCACAAUAUAAAAAAACUUUCAGAAUGUAUAGAUAUUGAGAAAAACACGAAAAUAUGAAAAUUGGAUGAAUUUGUUGCUUUCUCAAGUUGUUAAUAGUAACAAUCGGGAAACGGAGCAUAUUACAAAAAAAACUAUUGGAACAAUA